rnacentral:rRNA from 1 species
GGUCGAACGCUGGCGGCGUGCCUAAUACAUGCAAGUCGAGCGGACAGAAGGGAGCUUGCUCCCGGAUGUUAGCGGCGGACGGGUGAGUAACACGUGGGUAACCUGCCUGUAAGACUGGGAUAACUCCGGGAAACCGGAGCUAAUACCGGAUAGUUCCUUGAACCGCAUGGUUCAAGGAUGAAAGACGGUUUCGGCUGUCACUUACAGAUGGACCCGCGGCGCAUUAGCUAGUUGGUGGGGUAAUGGCUCACCAAGGCGACGAUGCGUAGCCGACCUGAGAGGGUGAUCGGCCACACUGGGACUGAGACACGGCCCAGACUCCUACGGGAGGCAGCAGUAGGGAAUCUUCCGCAAUGGACGAAAGUCUGACGGAGCAACGCCGCGUGAGUGAUGAAGGUUUUCGGAUCGUAAAGCUCUGUUGUUAGGGAAGAACAAGUGCGAGAGUAACUGCUCGCACCUUGACGGUACCUAACCAGAAAGCCACGGCUAACUACGUGCCAGCAGCCGCGGUAAUACGUAGGUGGCAAGCGUUGUCCGGAAUUAUUGGGCGUAAAGGGCUCGCAGGCGGUUUCUUAAGUCUGAUGUGAAAGCCCCCGGCUCAACCGGGGAGGGUCAUUGGAAACUGGGAAACUUGAGUGCAGAAGAGGAGAGUGGAAUUCCACGUGUAGCGGUGAAAUGCGUAGAGAUGUGGAGGAACACCAGUGGCGAAGGCGACUCUCUGGUCUGUAACUGACGCUGAGGAGCGAAAGCGUGGGGAGCGAACAGGAUUAGAUACCCUGGUAGUCCACGCCGUAAACGAUGAGUGCUAAGUGUUAGGGGGUUUCCGCCCCUUAGUGCUGCAGCUAACGCAUUAAGCACUCCGCCUGGGGAGUACGGUCGCAAGACUGAAACUCAAAGGAA